rnacentral:rRNA from 1 species
UACGGAGGGAGCUAGCGUUGUUCGGAAUUACUGGGCGUAAAGGGCUCGUAGGCGGCCAUCUAAGUCAGACGUGAAAUCCCUCGGCUUAACCGGGGGAACUGCGUCUGAUACUGGAUGGCUUGAGUUUGGGAGAGGGAUGCGGAAUUCCAGGUGUAGCGGUGAAAUGCGUAGAUAUCUGGAGGAACACCGGUGGCGAAGGCGGCAUCCUGGACCAACACUGACGCUGAGUGAGCGAAAGCCAGGGGAGCAAACGGG